GACGAACGCUGGCGGCGUGCUUAACACAUGCAAGUCGAGCGGUAAGGCCCUUUCGGGGGUACACGAGCGGCGAACGGAUGAGUAACACGUGGGUGACCUGCCCUCAGCUCUGGGAUAAGCCUGGGAAACCGGGUCUAAUACCGGAUAUGACUCCAUGACGCAUGUUGUGGGGUGGAAAGCCUUGUGCGGCUGAGGAUGGGCCCGCGGCCUAUCAGCUUGUUGGUGGGGGUGANGGCCUACCAAGGCGACGACGGGUAGCCGGCCUGAGAGGGCGACCGGCCACACUGGGACUGAGACACGGCCCAGACUCCUACGGGAGGCAGCAGUGGGGAAUCUUGCGCAAUGGGCGAAAGCCUGACGCAGCGACGCCGCGUGAGGGAUGACGGCCUGGUUGUAAC
rnacentral:rRNA from 1 species